AUUUUAAAUCAUUCAAGGAACGGUAUACCACGGGUGAGAUCCUAAAUUAUUGGAAUUAGAACAAUAAUAAUUUAUUUUCUUGGAUUUUAUAACACUAAUAAUUUAGCUAACGAGAUAAUAUAUACGGAUUUAUAUGGGAUGACGGGUUUUGAUCAAUAUUAAUAAAGAAAGGUAUAUUACGGAUGAAAUCAUAAAAUUAACAAUCAAAAUACAAUCAUACAACCUUAAACACAAAAACAUACAAUAUUAACAAAACAAAUAUAACUCAAAAUACAAGCUAUAAAAAAUUGACCCGCGGUAUACUGCAGACAAAAUAUUCAAAAUUUUAAAAUCUACCACACAUUGUUACUUAA
rnacentral:sRNA from 1 species